rnacentral:rRNA from 1 species
GAUGAACGCUGGCGGCGUGCCUAAUACAUGCAAGUCGAGCGAACGGACGAGAAGCUUGCUUCUCUGAUGUUAGCGGCGGACGGGUGAGUAACACGUGGAUAACCUACCUAUAAGACUGGGAUAACUUCGGGAAACCGGAGCUAAUACCGGAGAAUAUUUUGAACCGCAUGGUUCAAAAGUGAAAGACGGUCUUGCUGUCACUUAUAGAUGGAGCCGCACUGCAGUAGCUAGUUGGUAAGGUAACGGCUUACCAAGGCAACGAUGAAUAGCCGACCUGAGAGGGUAAUCGGCCACGCUGGAACUGAGACACGGUCCAGACUCCUACGGGAGGCAGCAGUAGGGAAUCUUCCGCAAUGGGCGAAAGCCUGACGGAGCAACGCCGCGUGAGUGAUGAAGGUCUUCGGAUCGUAAAACUCUGUUAUUAGGGAAGAACAUAUGUGUAAGUAACUGUGCACAUCUUGACGGUACCUUAUCAGAAAGCCACGGCUAACUACGUG